CCACUUCUCAUGCCCCUUACCCAAGCUGUGCUGCCCCCUGUGUGCCUUUCCUGAUCCACAAAGCACCUCUUGCAUACCCAAUGAAUCUUCCCUGACCAUGCCACCACCCUGUGCCCUUUCCUCAUAUGCAUAGCACUUCUCAUGCAUCCCCAUGCAUAUCUCCUGAACUGUGCCACUGCCCAUAUACCUUUCCUGACCCACACAGCACCUCUUGUGCACUCCUCUCCCUCCUCCCCAACCUCUGCUCUUCUCACACUCCUUUCCCAAGCCAUGCAGCAUAUCUUUGGUACCCCGUCAUAGACUUCCCCACCCACACCAACAUCAAAAUUCUAUCAAUGACCUAAAGACUACCUCUUGCACAUUCUCAAACACUCUGGGUACCCUUCCAAGCACCUUCUACAUACCCACAUUAUACCCACAUAUCAUUCUUGACAAGUGCCACUCCCCAGUAUAGGCCCUACCUAACUCAUACAGCAUCUUUGUACUUCUAGGCAUCCUUUCAAUUCUAUACUACAUGUCCGUGCACCUUCCCUGAUCCACAAGGCAUCUCUGGUGCACACCACAAACCUUCCCAAUCCACAUAGCAUUUCUCAUACGCAUCCACGUAUUUUUGCUGACUGACACACCAUACAUGCUCUCAUUCCUUUCCCCACCUGGCAGCACUUGCUUGUUGUACUUGGAUUUUUGCUACUUGCUACUGUGUACCUCAGUGAUUUUCUCCCUUCAAGUUUCCACAAGCAAACAAACCAAUGGCUGGCGAAAGAAAAGGCUUUGUAAUAGCCUUCUACAAAAUGGAUACUUUUAUUCUAUGAGAGAGAGUUUCAAGAAAGAUGGUAUACAAAUCAUAUGGAGCCUUCCUGAGUUCUCUGUUCCACUAGUGGCUGUUCUACAAAUUAAAAGAAGAAGAAGCUGAAUGCUCACCAACUAGUACAUAGAUACCAAAUACCUAAAAAACAUGGUGUGUUUCAACAACAUUUCAAACUGUGAUGAACAUUUCAUUGAAUGUAACAACCCAGCAAAGAAGGAAAGGCAUCUUCAUCUGGAUUCUAUUCAAUAAAUGAGCAGCAACUUUCCUUAUUGUACUAUCGUU